AAAACCGCUGCCUCUGCACUUUGGAAUCCCAUCUUGAGACUCGCUAAGCGUCCCAGCCGCAUCCCUCCCGCAGCGACGGCGGCCCGGGACCCGCGGGCUGUGAACCAUGAACACCCGCAAUAGAGUGGUGAACUCCGGGCUCGGCGCCUCCCCUGCCUCCCGCCCGACCCGGGAUCCCCAGGACCCUUCUGGGCGGCAAGGGGAGCUGAGCCCCGUGGAAGACCAGAGAGAGGGUUUGGAGGCAGCCCCUAAGGGCCCUUCGCGGGAGAGCGUCGUGCACGCGGGCCAGAGGCGCACAAGUGCAUACACCUUGAUAGCACCAAAUAUAAACCGGAGAAAUGAGAUACAAAGAAGUAUGUAUAGUCAUUCAUUUAACAUUCAGAAUGCUUCUCUCUUUUUACAAUUGGUUUGUUUUGGUGUGAAGUAUUUUUAUUUUCUCAUUUAUAUAGACUCACCAAAUCUCAUCAAGGUUUUUUGUUUUUUUUAGUUUUGAUUAUACCUUUAAAAAUAUUCUACUAUUAACACUUCUAAGUUUGUUUCUCUACGUUAGUAACAGAACUCAUGACAUGAUGGUAGAUCCUGGAUUUCUGUUGGCUUGAACAACUUUACACUUAUUGCCAAUAAACCUCCUUGAGGGUAGGGACCACAUCUUACUCGUUUUUGUGCUCUCUGUACUUAAUGCGUACAUAACAUGUUUAAUUGAUGUACAGUAAAUAUAAAUGCUGCCAUUUAAAGUUAUAGCAUUAUCCUUUAGAGGUGGAAGAGAACUAAAGUUCAUUUAGUUCACAAAGAAAUUGUAGGCUUGCUCAAGUCCAGCUGUGGGGCUAUGCUGAAAUUCGAUGGUCUCCUUUAUUACAUGAUUGGUAGGAAAUUUAACUUCAUGACUAAUGAUGGACAGAAAGGCACAAAAGGGAAAAAGCUCUCUAAAGAGUCUCCACCGGACAUGUAGCUCCGGGUGGGACAGCGGGUCAGUGCAGAAUAUGACAAUCACAGCCAUGCAGGGACUAUGGGAACUGCCAGCAGUUCUGGUAUCUUACAAGCUUUUGAUUUAAAUACUUAAUAGGAGAUUAAGUCUCAAUGUGGUCUGGAUUUCGAAAUGUUUCAGAAUUUGUUUUUCUAGUAAUGGACAUUUGAAACAGGUCUCAUGAGGAGAUAAGGGGAGGCGCUGGAGUGACAGAACUAAUUUCUCUCUGGCGCCCCCUGCUGUCGUGCAGAGUGAACAUUUAGGAAAUGAGCCCUGCUCCCCAGGAAGCCGACUCUGCACAGUGGUCUGGAGUGCCUGAAACCAGAGCAAGGGUCUCCACCUGUAGCACCGAGCCCUCAUUCCCUAGAGUCGCAGUAAGCUUGGGAGCAUUGAAGAUAAAGCGAGUAUGGGCAUCAGAAUUCUCUGGGGAUAUGUUUACCUAUGUGUGGAAAGUUCUUAUUGACGUGAAAAUAUUCUAGUUUUGCACACAUUUUCUAUAGGUAACUUUAAAAAUUAACUUGAUAUAGAGUUUUAAAAAUGCCAGAAUGGUAGGAAAAUCUAUACUUCUUUUAGUAGGAGCCCAGGUGGUUUUUCAAAUUCGAACCCUCUGUGCUGACUCUUGGUGAGAAUGUGCCACAGGGCCGGGCCCAGGAUGACCUGUACGGGUCAGGGCUGAAUAUUGUGUUUCUAACCUGGAAGCCUUGUUCACUCAUGCUCACAUAUAGUUAAUUGCCUUCUAAUAGUUGUUUCUUAUGCUUUGAAGGGACUGGUUUUCUUUUAGAAGUCUAAUAAUUGACGAUUUGAUAUUUCUCGCCUGGCUUAGUUGCGGAGCAGGAGCUGGCCAACCUGGAGAAGUGGAAGGAGCAGAACAGAGCUAAACCGGUUCACCUGGUGCCCAGACGGCUAGGUGGAAGCCAGUCAGAAACUGAAGUCAGACAGAAACAACAACUCCAGCUGAUGCAAUCUAAAUACAAGCAAAAGCUAAAAAGAGAAGAAUCUGUAAGAAUCAAGAAGGAAGCUGAAGAAGCUGAACUCCAAAAAAUGAAGGCAAUUCAGAGAGAGAAGAGCAAUAAACUGGAGGAGAAAAAAAGACUUCAAGAAAACCUUAGAAGAGAAGCAUUUAGAGAGCAUCAGCAAUACAAAACCGCUGAGUUCUUGAGCAAACUGAACACAGAAUCGCCAGACAGAAGUGCCUGUCAAAGUGCUGUUUGUGGCCCACAAUCCUCAACAUGGAAACUUCCUAUCCUGCCUAGGGAUCACAGCUGGGCCAGAAGCUGGGCUUACAGAGAUUCUCUAAAGGCAGAAGAAAACAGAAAAUUGCAAAAGAUGAAGGAUGAACAACAUCAAAAGAGUGAAUUACUGGAACUGAAACGGCAGCAGCAAGAGCAAGAAAGAGCCAAAAUCCACCAGACUGAACACAGGAGGGUAAAUAAUGCUUUUCUGGACCGACUCCAAGGCAAAAGUCAACCAGGUGGCCUCGAGCAAUCUGGAGGCUGUUGGAAUAUGAAUAGCGGUAACAGCUGGGGUAUAUGAGAAAAUAUUGACUCCUAUCUGGCCUUCAUCAACUGACCUCGAAAAGCCUCAUGAGAUGCUUUUUCUUAAUGUGAUUUUGUUCAGCCUCACUGUUUUUACCUUAAUUUCAACUGCCCACACACUUGACCGUGCAGUCAGGAGUGACUGGCUUCUCCUUGUCCUCAUUUAUGCAUGUUUGGAGGAGCUGAUUCCUGAACUCAUAUUUAAUCUCUACUGCCAGGGAAAUGCUACAUUAUUUUUCUAAUUGGAAGUAUAAUUAGAGUGAUGUUGGUAGGGUAGAAAAAGAGGGAGUCACUUGAUGCUUUCAGGUUAAUCAGAGCUAUGGGUGCUACAGGCUUGUCUUUCUAAGUGACAUAUUCUUAUCUAAUUCUCAGAUCAGGUUUUGAAAGCUUUGGGGGUCUUUUUAGAUUUUAAUCCCUACUUUCUUUAUGGUACAAAUAUGUACAAAAGAAAAAGGUCUUAUAUUCUUUUACACAAAUUUAUAAAUAAAUUUUGAACUCCUUCUGUAUAAAUGGGUCAUUUUUAUUUUUAAUGAAAAGUUAUUGGGGUUUUCUCUCUUGAAGGGUCUCAUUUUAAUUCCCUUUUCCAGGCCGUAUAGAUCAAAUAUAGUACUGUCAUUACUGUUGGCUCUUGUUUUGGUCUUGACUUACUAAUAGUGUUACCCUGAUUUUCAGAGGGGGACAGUUUAUCUCCAGAAAGGCCAAUGUUUGUAUACACAUCAGCUAGACACAAAUAUAGACAUCAUAUGUAGUUUGUACAUGUUUCAGAAACUUGUUUUUUCUUUGCUCUGUGUAACCUAUUUCCUAUUGCUAGUUCAGUUGGCUUUCUUAUUCACUUCUGUGACCCUGAACCAGUUCUCAGACCCUAGAGUGUAAGAGCAUUGAUUUUCUACGCUGUGUAAUCUAGCUCAAUCCCUCUGUCCCCUCCGCCUCACCGUCCCCCAGCCACCACAUUGUAUAGCAAAAGCAUUACAUUCAAUCCUAGAAUAAAGGUAAAUACAACAAAUCAUCUUUGCAGCUGGACAACUAAUAAUACUUUGCAGCAUUAAGAGAUCUUCUGUGUUACCAGUCACUCUGUUGAAAUGAACUUUCCGAAUCUCUUUAUUCAGGAAAACAUGGGGUUUUGAAAUUCUUGGGCCAAGAGACAUAACUGAGGGGUUCGCAGAGCUAGGCAAGGGUGCACUAGGAAAGGGCCACAUUGGUGGGUGGGGGGUAACAGAGAACAGAUGGUGUCAGGAAGUUUCUCUGGAGUAAAUAAUGUGGAUAUUCUUGGUUUCCCUCUCCUCCGCCAGCUGAAGCUGUGUUAGUGCUGUUGACACUAAUAUAAAAUGUUUGGUCCAUUUGAAAUCCUUGUCAUUGCCUUAUAUGGGGGAAACUCAAUCCCCCAGCCUGUGUUGGAAAUAUCACCAAACUGAUUGUAAAUGUGCGGCUGUAGCAGACAUUUUAGUGUGGUGGUGUGCAGCCAUUUCGGCCCUACACCUGCCAGCCUGGCUACCUUACAGUUGUGUUCCGAUUUUUGCGUCUAUGCUUGGUGUGCCUCACUUGCUGCAUUUUCCAGCAUGCAACCAGGAGUUGACGUAGGAAAAAGGGAUGCUUUCUUACUUUGGAAGCUCUCAGGGAAGUUGGUGUCAAUUUCUCCUCCACUGCCUGGCCUACCCUGCACUCCCAAAGAUUUUGUGCAGAUGGGUAGUUCCAUUUUUUAAAAAUUGUGCAGAUAUGGAAAAUUGUGACUUACUUCAUGACCAGAACUAUCUAGAAUAUGUGUGGGGGUAUAAACAUCUUGCUUAACCAAAUAUCUAUGUAGGCAGAGGUAACCAGGAGAGAAGCAAGACUUGCUGCCUAAAGGAGCCCACCAUUUUACUUUUCACAUUUAAUCUGCCACGUUGAAUCAAUUGGAAUAAAACCUGACUCGCAGGUGACUGGACAGGAAAUCCCAAAGUUCCACCAUUUCUAUGCUUAAUUUUAAUGUCCCCCCGCUUUUUUUUUUGUAGAAAAUAAAAACAAGAAAAUCGUUCCAAUGUAAGAUGUUUGUUAUAGAAACUUUAGGCAAUACAGGUGUGUAAUAAAAUGUUUAAUAAACUUCUAAACACUUUUGUAUUUGGAUUUA
rnacentral:lncRNA from 1 species